UACGAAGGGGGCUAGCGUUGUUCGGAAUUACUAGGCGUAAAGCGCACGUAGGCGGAUCGAUCAGUCAGGGGUGAAAUCCCAGGGCUCAACCCUGGAACUGCCUUUGAUACUGUCGAUCUGGAGUAUGGAAGAGGUGAGUGGAAUUCCGAGUGUAGAGGUGAAAUUCGUAGAUAUUCGGAGGAACACCAGUGGCGAAGGCGGCUCACUGGUCCAUUACUGACGCUGAGGUGCGAAAGCGUGGGGAGCAAACAGG
rnacentral:rRNA from 1 species